UACGUAGGUGGCAAGCGUUGUCCGGAUUUAUUGGGUUUAAAGGGUGCGUAGGCGGCCCUGUAAGUCGGUGCUGAAAUAUCCCAGCUUAACUGGGAGGGUGGCAUUGAUACUGCGGGGCUAGAGUACAGAUGAGGUAGGCGGAAUUGACGGUGUAGCGGUGAAAUGCUUAGAUAUCGUCAAGAACACCUAUAGCGAAGGCAGCUUACUAGGCUGUAACUGACGCUGAGGCACGAAAGUGUGGGGAUCAAACAGG
rnacentral:rRNA from 1 species